rnacentral:rRNA from 1 species
AUUGAACGCUAGCGGGAUGCUUAACACAUGCAAGUCGAACGAGUGGCGGACGGGUGAGUAAUAUAUCGGAACGUGCCCAGUAGCGGGGGAUAACUACUCGAAAGAGUGGCUAAUACCGCAUACCAUCGGAGUUGCCGAUAUUGGAUUAGCUAGUUGGUGGGGUAAAGGCUCACCAAGGCAACGAUCCGUAGCUGGUUUGAGAGGACGACCAGCCACACUGGAACUGAGACACGGCCCAGACUCCUACGGGAGGCAGCAGUGGGGAAUUUUGGACAAUGGGGGAAAGCCUGAUGCAGCCAUCCCGCGUGUAUGAGAAGGCCUUCGGGUUGUAAAGUACUUUUGGCAGGGAGGCGUUAUCUGCAGAAUAAGCACCGGCUAACUACGUGCCAGCAGCCGCGGUAAUUC